rnacentral:rRNA from 1 species
AACGAACGCUGGCGGCAUGCCUAACACAUGCAAGUCGAACGAGACCUUCGGGUCUAGUAGCGCACGGGUGCGUAACGCGUGGGAAUCUGCCCUUGGGUUCGGAAUAACAGUUAGAAAUGACUGCUAAUACCGGAUGAUGACUUCGGUCCAAAGAUUUAUCGCCCAAGGAUGAGCCCGCGUAGGAUUAGCUAGUUGGUAGGGUAAAGGCCUACCAAGGCGACGAUCCUUAGCUGGUCUGAGAGGAUGAUCAGCCACACUGGGACUGAGACACGGCCCAGACUCCUACGGGAGGCAGCAGUGGGGAAUAUUGGACAAUGGGCGAAAGCCUGAUCCAGCAAUGCCGCGUGAGUGAUGAAGGCCCAAGGGUUGUAAAGCUCUUUUACCCGGGAUGAUAAUGACAGUACCGGGAGAAUAAGCCCCGGCUAACUCCGUGCCAGCCGCCGCCGUAACAC